UAUACUCUUUUGCAUAACCACACGGUGAGGUCAUAUGUUUAGGACACCAUUGUUCCAUCACCAUGGAGAUGACGAGAUGUCAAAGCACUGGCAAGAAGCCUCCCAUGCAGGAUGAAGCCAAGGAAGAAGAUGAAGAAAAGAGAGGAAGGACCUGCACAUUAGCCAGAGGACUCAAAACAUCCCAAGAAGCUCAUGAGGUCAUCCUCAUUCACAUAGUUUCCCAGGUGUCAGAUCUGUUUCGAAAGCACAUAACCUUCCAGUCCAGCCCAGCAUGUAGCCACAGUCCACAGGCAGCACCUAAAACUCGGAAGAGCUUGCGAGAGGCAGUGACUACAGUGGAAAGUGCACAGAGCAGAGAAGAAGACUGGGCUCCAGACCAGCUGUGGCCCUCGAGCUGCCUGCCUUCAGCCCUUGCUUCUCCAUUAGCUCUGCUCCAGUCAAGCCACAGGCUGAAGGACUCAAGCAUGACUUCACACUCUUCAUUCUGCGGGAUGUUUCUUCAAGACUUGUCACAGGGAUAGGCAUGCGCACAGGGAGGACACCAUGUGGAGAUGAAGGCAGAGAUCAGGUGAUGUUUCUACAAGCCAAAGAAGGCCAGAGAUUGCCAGCAAACCACCAGCAGCCAGGGAAGAGGCAUGGAAUGAAUUCUUCCUUCAACCUUUAGAAGGAAGCAACCAGACUUCUGGACUUCAGAACUGUGAGACAAUAAAAUACUUGUGCUGUGUAAGCCACCCAGCUUGUGGCACUUUGUUACAGCAGCUCUAGCAGACUUACACACAGUGCUUUCCCUCAAUGGCCUCCGGCACCAUAAUCUCCUGGUUCUCCUUGCUUUACAAACCCUCCUCAGGACCCUUAGCUGACCCUGCUCAUGCCUGGCUAAUUUCUCUAUAUAGCUCAGCAACCCACCACCUUGUUUUCUCUGCCUAUACUCUUCCUGCAUGAUUUUGAAUAAUCCCUCAGGGCUUUAGAAACCACAUAUAUGCCCAUUUUAAAUCGACCUCUCCUAGACUUACAGCUGCAGCUACCUACUUGGCAUCUCCCCGUGAAUGCCCGACAAGCAUCUCAAACCUAGCUCCAAAACCCGCACCCAAGCAGCUGAGCCACAGACUGGGUCGCCGGUCCCAGGGAGAGUAGCACAUCUCAGCCAAGUCUCGGAAAAAUUGAAGCUGUGCCCUGGAAGAAAGUCAUAUGUUCUCCUGGCAUGUUGAUGCUACAGGAUUUGAGUCCCAGCAAGUGCUGGGUAUUCAAGGUACAAUGGAGAACACGACAAAUACUACUCCUGUCUUCUUGGAGUUCUUGGAGCCCUAACUGAUGCUUCCCCCACAGUAUUUCCACCAGCCUAUGAAAACAAAUUAUACAGCAUGACUGGCAGACAAUCUCUCAGCAUUACUAAUAUAUAGGUCUAAAUCUGCAUGUAAAGGACAGUACCUCUUACUUUUAUGUUUCAAAGCUAAUAAACCAGGACUUGGGGUAAGG